rnacentral:rRNA from 1 species
UACGGAGGGGGCUAGCGUUGUUCGGAAUUACUGGGCGUAAAGCGCACGUAGGCGGCUGUGUAAGUCAGAGGUGAAAGCCCGGGGCUCAACCCCGGAAUAGCCUUUGAGACUGCAUAGCUUGAACACGGGAGAGGUGAGUGGAAUUCCGAGUGUAGAGGUGAAAUUCGUAGAUAUUCGGAGGAACACCAGUGGCGAAGGCGGCUCACUGGACCGUUGUUGACGCUGAGGUGCGAAAGCGUGGGGAGCAAACAGG